rnacentral:rRNA from 1 species
UACAGAGGUCCCGAGCGUUGUUCGGAUUUACUGGGCGUACAGGGAGCGUAGGCGGUUGGAUAAGCCCUCCGUGAAAUCUCCAGGCUUAACCUGGAAAGUGCAGAGGGGACUGUUCAGCUAGAGGAUGGGAGAGGAGCGCGGAAUUCCCGGUGUAGCGGUGAAAUGCGUAGAGAUCUCCAAGAACACCUAUUGCGAAGGCAGCCAGCUGGGACCAUAUUGACGCUGAGGCUCGAAAAGCAUGGGGGAGCAAACAGG